GUAACUUAGUUCCUUUUUCUGGCUCACUGUGUCUUCUUAAGAAGCACUGCACUAAAAGAUUCUACCAUCACAGACUUUGCAUCAGGAAGAUCAAGACCCAUGUGUAAGAACUUCUCACAGCACUAUAAAGAGUUGAGUAUUUUAACUUUUCAAACAAUACGGAAUCUCGACAGCAUACAGGUUAACUCUGUUUCUCUUCAUCACCUCCUUGAAUCUGUCAUCGAUCUUCAGGAUGCAAAUCUGUCACACUUUCAUCAUUGGUCUUUCAUGGAUGGCAUUGGCUUCGGAAGUUUAUGGCUGCACUGAGGAUAUUCCAGAAAAGUGUAUCGAGUUUGGUGGCGCUUGCAGCAGAGAUGCGUGCCAGAACGGGCGCAUGGGUUCAUGUGGGUCAGGUCUCCAUUGCUGCCGUCAGCCAGAAGCAGGAAAGAACGGUGGCUUAUGAAUGGAGGAG